rnacentral:rRNA from 1 species
UGGGGAAUCUUGCGCAAUGGGCGAAAGCCUGACGCAGCCAUGCCGCGUGAAUGAUGAAGGUCUUAGGAUUGUAAAAUUCUUUUAGCAGGGACGAUAAUGACGGUACCUGAAGAAGAAGCCCCGGCUAACUUCGUGCCAG